CAGCCGCCACGGUAAUACGGAGGGUGCAAGCGUUAAUCGGAAUUACUGGGCGUAAAGCGCACGCAGGCGGUCUGACAAGUCAGAUGUGAAAUCCCCGGGCUUAACCUGGGAACUGCAUUUGAAACUGUCAGGCUGGAGUCUUGUAGAGGGGGGUGGAAUUCCAGGUGUAGCGGUGAAAUGCGUAGAGAUCUGGAGGAAUACCGGUGGCGAAGGCGGCCCCCUGGACAAAGACUGACGCUCAGGUGCGAAAGCGUGGGGAGCAAACAGGAUUAGAUACCCGGGUAGUCCCUGUCUCUUAUAC
rnacentral:rRNA from 1 species